UCCCUGGAGGACUAGUGGUUAGGCCUCGGCGCUCUCAUCGCCGCUACCUGGGUUCGAUUCCCAGCCAGGGAA
rnacentral:tRNA from 1 species